rnacentral:rRNA from 1 species
GAUGAACGCUGACAGAAUGCUUAACACAUGCAAGUCAACAUGAACUUCGGGUUGGGUGGCGGACGGGUGAGUAACGCGUAAAGAACUUGCCUCACAGCUAGGGACAACAUUUGGAAACGAAUGCUAAUACCUGAUAUUAUGAUUAUAUGGCAUCGUAUAAUUAUGAAAGCUAUAUGCGCUGUGAGAGAGCUUUGCGUCCCAUUAGCUAGUUGGAGAGGUAACAGCUCACCAAGGCGAUGAUGGGUAGCCGGCCUGAGAGGGUGAUCGGCCACAAGGGGACUGAGACCCGGCCCUUACUACUACGGGAGGCAGCAGUGGGGAAUAUUGGACAACGGACCGAGAGUGUGAUACAGCAAUUCUGUGUGCACGAUGAAGUUUUUCGGAAUGUAAAGUGCUUUCAGUUGGGAAGAAAAAAAUGACGGUACCAACAGAAGAAGUGACGGCUAAUUACGU